rnacentral:misc_RNA from 1 species
AGCUGAGCUAUCCCGACCAUUCCUGCAUAGUAACUCGUACUCAUUUUAUGAUUUUAGUCGAUGGCUGGGGUCUAUGUCAAUAAAGGGAAGGGGUAGAUUACAAAUUAUUCUCCAAGUACUUUAAUUUUUUUGAUCUUCAAAAAGACCACUUUUUCAGUUUCAGUAUUCGUAAAGCUAUUGAUUGGGAAUCAUUUUAAUCGGUAUUCUUUGCUCAAUUUGUAUGUGUAUUCUAUUUCUAUAUCAUGUGAGAGAAGAAAAAGUCAUUUACGUCCACUCACGUUUGUCAAAGAAUCAGAAAAAUAAAGCAAUUUGUAACCAAAAGUAUAGUUAGGAUAAUAUUUUGGGAGUAAAAUAGGCUUGCUUGGGGAUAGAGGGACUUGAACCCUCACGAUUUUAAAUCAACGGAUUUCUCUUACAUAAAUUCAUUGUUGUCGGUAUUGACAUGUAGAAGGGACUCUAUCUUUAUUCUUGUCCGAUUGAUCAGUUCUUCAAAAAGUUAUCGAAUUAUGGAGUGAAUGGUUUGAUGACUAAAAAUUAGAUUUCCUUCAAUAUUGAAUCUAUUCACACCAAUUCUUAUCUAUAUUUUUAUAUAAAAAAAUACAUCUAGAGAUUCGGGCCUUUAUUAAUCAUUAGAUUCGGGCCUUUAUUAAUCAUUUGAUAUAGUAUUCAAUAGAUAGGUUUAUCUUCGAUACUUCUGACGUUUCAGUGAAAAGAUUCCUUUACUAGUGCCCCAUUUACUAGAACAGCUUCCAUUGAGUCUCUGUACCUAUCCUUUUUUUUUCUGUUUAUGAACUUUUCUUUUGAUAAAACAGGAUUUGGCUCAGGAUUGCCCAUUUUAAUUCCGGGUUUCCCUGAAUUUGAAAGUUAUCACUUAGUAGGUUUCCAUAC